GAUCCUGGCUCAGAUUGAACGCUGGCGGCAUGCCUUACACAUGCAAGUCGAACGGUAACAGGUCUUCGGACGCUGACGAGUGGCGAACGGGUGAGUAAUACAUCGGAACGUGCCCAGUCGUGGGGGUUAACUACUCGAAAGAGUAGCUAAUACCGCAUACGAUCUAAGGAUGAAAGCGGGGGACCUUCGGGCCUCGCGCGAUUGGAGCGGCCGAUGGCAGAUUAGGUAGUUGGUGGGAUAAAAGCUUACCAAG
rnacentral:rRNA from 1 species